AGAAUACGGUGAAGCCCUCUCCUCCUCCCUGGGCUUCGCGGUAAAGGCGGCCUCCCCCUCCUCCUCCCUGGGGAAGCCGCCGACUUAUACGGCGGGACCGACCUCCUCCCUGGUCCCGCGGUGCAG
rnacentral:sRNA from 1 species